UUCUGGAAAUAAUUUGUGUGUCUUAGUGUAUGUGUGUGUAACAGCAUAUGUACAUUUUACAGAUUAUGAAACCAAAGGAGAGAGAAAUAUAUUUUCUUGACCCUGUUGAUAAAGGAGCAUUUGGACAGUACAUUGACACAUACAGGUUUAUGACGUGUUCAGCAUGUGUUCAAAGAUUACAGUGGUUCUGUUUUAAACUGUAAUCUCUUUUCUUUUUCUGUUCCCUGUUGAACUUCAAUGUUCUGUUCAGUUCGCAGACAAGUUUUGUCAGAUGGUCUACAUAGUGAUAGACAUAGGAAAGUGACACCUAAGGUCAAAGCUAAAACAGGUGCAAUUGUUUGUUGCAUAUUCUAACAAACCCAUGUGUUUUAUAAUCAUGUGUAAAUGGUUUCAUCUUUACAGGAAAAUAGUAAAGUACAUUCAUAAUGAUGAAUGGACUGAAAGAACUAUGGAUUCAUUUGAAGUAAAGUAUUUUGUAACUUUCAUUCAUUUUACUGAAUUGGGAUGAUGAGCUGUAUUUAUUAAGUUGUACUCAUCCAAAUCUAACAGAGAAUCCCAAAACAGACGGGAGACACUGACUGUGGACUCUUCAUUUUGAUGUAUACCAUGUAUAUUGCUUUGGGGCUGCAGUUUGAUUUUGAACAAGAUGACAUGCCCAUGAUCAGAUGGUGGUGUGCUCUUCUGAUAGACAACUUCUCUUUGGAAAUGUAUGUUUCAUUUUUUUCAUGCUUGUUACCAUGUUGGUUUGAACUUUAACAACAUUAACCUUUUUGAUUUGUGGUGUUUUAAUACAAGAACACAUAAGAGACAAACAGCUGCUCCACAUCUCUCCAAAAGACAAUGCCUAGAGAAGUUCAGUGACACUGGACACAAAGUUGAAACUACACUGUACCAGCUACCUCCAGAAAUUCUUACAAAAAUACUGAAGGACGUCAUUCUCAGCGAUGGGGAGACUGCAUACCGAACCCUCUCUUUGGUAUGCAGAGAAUUUCGAGAUGUUAUUGGGAAUGACGCAUUUAGAAGAGAAGUAAGUGCU